CCCUCCUUUGCGCGAAGUGAGACUCCAUCGCUGGAAAGCCAUCUGCCCCUCUUGAUUGUGCUUUUAGGAAUAACUCCUGUUAAUCUCCUUUGAAGGUUAGUCUACACCUCCAUCCUGUCUACCUGGCCAUAUCAUGGAUUCCUUCCCAAGUUCACUUCCUCUAGGAAGCAUUCAUUGACCGUCGGUUUUAGUUGCUUUUCUAUGGAUACAACAGAAUGCUUGAGACGGGCUAAUUUAAAAAGAAAAGAAGCUUAUUUGGCUCCUGGUUACAGAAGCUAGGAAGACCAAGGGCAUGGUGACAGCUUCUGGCAAGGUUGAAACCAGUAAAAAAAAAAACAUGCAGAAAAAAAGAUGGGGACCGAAAUCCAAAGCCAGAGGGUCCUGAAAAUCAGAGGGUGUUACAACAUAACAGGUGGUUACAGGCCAUGGCUCAGGCUAGGCCUGGAAUAGACUGUGGUUCUCUUCUACAAAUCAAUCCAGACUGGACGGACAGAACUCCAAGGGAGGAAGGAAAAAUGAAUCUGAUGUUACUUCUGGAAACCACAUUUUCUGAAGUCACCAUUUUUAUAUAUCUAUCAACUCAUCAUUUUUAUGUAUCUAUCAAUAUGAUUUUCUGAUCUUAUUUCUUCCUACUAAUGUGAUGAAUUACCUUGAUUGAUUUUAGAAUAUUAAAUCACUUUUGUAUUCCUGGAAUAAACCCUAAAUGGAUGUUUGAUUUUUGCUAAUUCCUUAGCAAAAAUGCUAACAUUUUAUUUAGGAUUUUGCAUCUAUAUUCACAAAUGAGGGUCUUUUUCCUCUCUUGACAUCAACCAAUUCUCCAGUUCUCUAACACAAACUGAGUGUCCUGCAAUUCAAUUCAACUUUUGACACUAACUACCCAGGGUUGGAAUUAGCCUCCACAGAUUUAAGGGCUCAGUCCCACGAGACUGUCCCAAUCAGACUCCAGUUGCGAGUCCUAGGUCAACCCAUCCUUUUGGGCAACGAUUAGAGGAACUCAGGAAAGUGCUUAACUUAAUAUUACUGGGUUAUUACAAAGGAUAAAAUUCAGGAAGAGCCAAAUGGAAGCCAUGCAUAGAGCAAGGCAAGGGAGAAUGAACACAAAGCCUCCUUCACCUCUCCGGGCACACCCCUCUCCCAGCACCUUGAUGUGUUCACCAACCUGGAAGCCCUCUGAACCCCAUCAUUUAGAGGUUUUAAUGGAAGUUUCACUACACAGGCAUGGAGAUGGAGUCUUACUCUGUCGCCCAGG